UUCACUAGCACACAGCUGCUUCUGGAAAAUUCUGCACCCUGCCCUACUAAACCACCAGGCAUGACAUGAAUAACAAGAAUGGCCUAGCCGUCAACAGCGGAUACUUUUUCUUUUGACGUGGGCCUAUCAGACUGGUACAAAUGCCCUGGCCUUGCACAUAGUGGAAAAAUCAACAAUGAGGGGGACACCGGGGCACAAUGUGGAAAUGAAAUCCUGGGUUUAGGAGGCUUUGUCUGGACAAGGACGCAGUUGACACAGACCCUAAGGGCUUUGGAAAAGGCUGUGCAACAAAAUGCCAACUGAUGUGUUUUCAUGGGGUUACUUGUUCACUAGCCAGUCACUAAUUGGACAGUAAGAACCCACUAAAUUGCUUUCAGUCAGCAUAGAGCAUUUGCAGAUUUCCUUUCCAAGCUGCAUGUGUCAUGCCCUCGUGUGAAGACAGAGGCAGCAAAGCAAAUCCGGCGGUUGAAAAGUACUAGCUGGCAUGUCUUGCUAUGUUUCUAACAUGACCAGUCAACACUUGUCCCGCGUCUAAGUACAGGCUUACCAGCAAUGUGUGAGUGUUGCCCUGCAGAUGAGAUAAUGCUAGCUCCUAUCCGUCCAUGAGGUUGUUAGCCAUGCACAACCCUCCCUGGUGUUGACAUUUCCCUGCCCAACCUGUCUGAACACAUAGGGCCAUGGAGGCUCCUCUCAGGCUGUCUGUAUUCAUGGCUGAUAAAGAGUUUACUGAAAAUGUCCAGGAUCCAGGAUUCCCAGUGUCUUCUCGUUUUGUACUUCAUCAGAGAAGCCUUGUCCGUGUACAUGCACACUUCAGUGAAGAGGCCGGAGAGGGAAGACUGGUGAAGGCAACAGCUUCAUUGUCAUGUUGUCCUCAGAGGAGUUCGACAAUAACCUUAGAAGGAUGGACAACUGUGCUGACUCACUUAAGUUGUUAUCCGUGACAUCUGGGACAUUAAAGAGGCAGUUACGCCGGGUUGAAAAUGAAAGUCAUGAUGCAAAUUUCGGCUUCUAACCUAAAUGCCAGAGUCCCAUGCCAUUAUUUCCACAGCAGGCCUGGAAGUGAUGUAUUGAUCAAUGUUUUGAUUUAUUUUUUUCCCAAUAAAAUGCAUUAAUGAGU